ensembl:lncRNA
GCUGCACUCUACGAUUUGACUUUCCCACCCCAACGGGGCCCUGCACGUGUUUCGGAGGUUGCAAGACUUGAUGUCUGCGUGCUCCCCCCGCCAUCUCUGUGUGAGUAGAAGAGAGAAGAAGUAUGGCAGUUUGGCCUUUCCCAGAGUGGGACAACAUCCUCCCCACCCUCGUUCCGCUUCCAGACCCUGCCUCUGCCCGCAUUUGCCAUCGACACACACAGCAAAGAGAAGGUGCUCUGUUUGCUUCAGAAGGAUGGAUGCCAUGGGAGUCUGGCUUGGCACGCGCUGAAUCAGAGGAACCCCCCGUUUCUGUAGAUUUUCAGGACGGCACAGCUAUGGAAACGUGUCCCUCUGUGACUUCAUUCCUCCUGCCGAGAACGUCAGAGAACAGGGAUCAUGUCUGUGCUUUUGGCAAUGACGUUUUAUCUCUUCUGUCAUAUCAUAGACCACCAAAAGCCGUGUCCCAAGCUUUAAGGGAUGGUGUAAUUCUCUAUAAUACACAUGCAUUGCUUACUAUUAAAUUGCAAUUCGGAAAUGUUUUCCCGUGGCCAGGGUUGGUGUCUUUUUUUUUUUUUUUUUUUUAAAUUGUACUGGAGCAGUACAACUGUUUUUUGUUUUUUUUUAAAAAAAUUUUUUUUCAACGUUUAUUUAUUUUUGGGACAGAGAGAGACAGAGCAUGAACGGGGGAGGGGCAGAGAGAGAGGGAGACCCAGAAUGGGAAACAGGCUCCAGGCUCUGAGCCAUCAUCAGCACAGAGCCCGACGCGGGGCUCGAACUCCCGGACCGCGAGAUCGUGACCUGGCUGAAGUCGGACGCUUAACCGACUGCGCCACCCAGGCGCCCCAGGGUUGGUGUCUUUUAACUCACAUGCUGGGGGUGCUCUGCAAGCAAAAUCAUUGAUUUCAAACACCGGAAGUUUUGUUUUUGAUUUGGUUUGGUUUUUAAAUUUUACAUGAAACUCUAAGUGUGCGCAGAGAACUCACUUGUAGGUUCAAGUUGAGCUGCUCCGUAAUCCGAAAGUUAAAACCUUCCGUGUAUGCAAGGGGUCCUCCCUGGGAUGGACGCGGAGACAGAUGGAAGUUAGCAUGAGGUCUCCAAACCGCCCCCCACCCCGCCCCGAGUCAGGAACUGAGACCCUGGCUACUUUGCCCGUCGCAAAGCACAUGGUUGACGCGUAAAAUGGCCUGUGGUUAUCGAAAGCAUGUUAUUUACUUGACAUUUGGAAAACAUGGUUAAAAUGAAAAAUACUCACCCUAAGCGCAAUGUUCAAAAGUAUAUUUAUUUCUUCAAAAUUCUCUGAUCGGCCAUCGUGCUACCCCCCCCCCCCCCACCUGAGUCAGGACACCUCCAGCAACUUCGCCGUUGCAAAGAUGCAGACUGCGUUACGUGGGCUGGAUGAGCCACCCCCGGACAUGCUGGUCAGCUCUGUCCAACGUCACCACCUUCCUCUUCUCCCUCUGGGACUUCCGUGAGGCCUGUUCUUCUAUAGGACACCCUGCUCCUUGUUACACUCUGGCUUCCCAUCUGUGAACCUCUGAUGACCCUGAAUCUCCAUCGGCCAUUGGCGCUGAGGUACGAAGGUAA